UACUCAGGUGUUUCGUUUGACCAGCCGUGCCCUGAGUGCUGUCCAGUGUGGUGCUUUUUGAUUUAAUUUUGAUCUCUUUGCCACUUUGUGAUCAAGUCUGCAACAAAGUUUCCUUCAGUAACGACUAAUUGAGGCCCAUCGCAAUAUUCGUUGUACUCCACUAUACUUGUUUCAUGUUUUCAACAAUUCAUCGUGAGCAUCCAGUUUUGUGACACCAUUGUCUGGAAUAGGAUUAGGUGCCUCAUAUAAGAAAGUCCUCUCAAAAUACCAGAAAGAAAAAAAAUCCACUCCAAAGGAUCCCUGCCGUGUUCAUACCAAGGGCCAGCGUGAGCACAAAGUGUCCUCGGCAAGGAAUCACUUUCUGUUUUCUUGGGAACAUUAACUUGGAUCGGAACGGAAAAAGAAGCAGCACUUUUACGACAGAGAUUCCUUCUCUCCUUCCACUUCCACUCCGAGAUAACCAACGGUUCGGAGGGAUUCGGUACCUUCACGGAGUAGCUUUAAUUUUCUUACGAGCAUAA